AUGCUUCUUAAUUUAUAAGUGUGAUGAUUGGGUUUCUGUGUUUAUGUGUGAGAUGCGUCUCCCUCAACCUUGUUACAACAGUUGGGCAUUAUCUGACUGAUG
ensembl:snoRNA